UGCCAGUAUUAAGGAACAGUGCUACUCUGGA
rnacentral:piRNA from 1 species